GACGAACGCUGGCGGCGCGCCUAACACAUGCAAGUCGAACGGAGCUGAGAGAAGCUUGCUUUUCUUAGCUUAGUGGCGAACGGGUGAGUAACGCGUGAGUAACCUGCCCUGGAGUGGGGGACAACAGUUGGAAACGACUGCUAAUACCGCAUAAGCCCACGAUCCGGCAUCGGAUUGAGGGAAAAGGAUUUAUUCGCUUCAGGAUGGACUCGCGUCCAAUUAGCUAGUUGGUGAGGUAACGGCCCACCAAGGCGACGAUUGGUAGCCGGACUGAGAGGUUGAACGGCCACAUUGGGACUGAGACACGGCCCAGACUCCUACGGGAGGCAGCAGUGGGGGAUAUUGCACAAUGGGGGAAACCCUGAUGCAGCGACGCCGCGUGGAGGAAGAAGGUUUUCGGAUUGUAAACUCCUGUCGUUAGGGACGAUAAUAACGGUACCUAACAAGAAAGCACCGGCUAACUACGUG
rnacentral:rRNA from 1 species